CAACGAGCUCUGAAAGCGUACAACGUCGACAAAUCCCGCGUCCAGGUCCCAGUUGAGGCCGCUCGUUCUCGGCGGCAUGCGCAGGUACUUUCCGUGCACGUUUCCGGAGGCGUACGAGCCCCCAGCACCGACCAGCGAGUAGACGCCCACUUCUUGGGGCUCCGAAUAUUGCGGCGCUGGGCCGCGGUAUGCCGAGGAUGGCAGCACCGCCAUCGUGGACGCCAUGCUC
rnacentral:lncRNA from 1 species